GCAUGGUAGAAUUCUGUGUUACUCUGGUAGUAGUAAAUGCAGUCAGACACCAUGCAAAAGUGUCUGUUCACUCGCUUAAGAAGGGUGAGUGCUGUCCUGUGCCCUACCCAGUUAAUGGAGGAGUGAAUACAUUG
rnacentral:snoRNA from 1 species